rnacentral:misc_RNA from 1 species
GAUGAAGAACGUAGCGAAAUGCGAUAAGUAGUGUGAAUUGCAGAAUUCAGUGAAUCAUCGAAUCUUUGAACGCACAUUGCGCCCUUUGGUAUUCCUUAGGGCAUGCCUGUUCGAGCGUCAUUUAAACCUUCAAGCUAAGCUUGGUGUUGGGUGACUGUCCGCUUCACGGCGGACUCGCCUCAAAAUUAUUGGCGGCCGGUACAUUGGCUUCGAGCGCAGCAGAAACGCGAACUCGGGCCCGUCGUAUUGGCUCCCAGAAGCUAUCUUCACAAUUUUGACCUCGGAGCAGGUAGGGAUACCCGCUGAACUUAAGCAUAUCAAUAAGCGGAGGA